rnacentral:rRNA from 1 species
UACAGAGGGUGCAAGCGUUAAUCGGAAUUACUGGGCGUAAAGCGUGCGUAGACGGUUACAUAAGUCGGGUGUGAAAGCCCCGGGCUCAACCUGGGAAUUGCAUUCGAGACUGCGUAGCUAGGGUGCGGAAGAGGGAAGCGGAAUUUCCGGUGUAGCGGUGAAAUGCGUAGAUAUCGGAAGGAACACCAGUGGCGAAAGCGGCUUCCUGGUACAGCACCGACGUUCAGGCACGAAAGCGUGGGGAGCAAACAGGGAUUAGAUACCCCGUG